rnacentral:rRNA from 1 species
CCCUUAGAUGUCCUGGGCCGCACGCGCGCUACACUGAAGGAAUCAGCGUGGCUUUCUCCCUGGUCCGAAAGGACCGGGAAACCCGUUGAAUCUCCUUCGUGAUAGGGAUUGGGGCUUGAAAUUGUUCCCCAUGAACGAGGAAUUCCCAGUAAGCGCGAGUCAUAAGCUCGCGUUGAUUACGUCCCUGCCCUUUGUACACACCGCCCGUCGCUACUACCGAUUGAACGGUUUAGUGAGGGCCUCGGAUUGGUCUCGGCCCGCUCUUCACCGGGCGGCGCCGUUGGUCGAGAAGACGCUCGAACUUGAUCGUUUAGAGGAAGUAAAAGUCGUAACA